rnacentral:rRNA from 1 species
AGUGAGGAAUAUUGCACAAUGGGGGAAACCCUGAUGCAGCAACGCCGCGUGGAGGAUGACGCAUUUCGGUGUGUAAACUCCUUUUAUAUGUCAAGAAAAUGACGGUAGCAUAUGAAUAAGCACCGGCUAACUCCGUGCCAGCAGCCGCGGUAAUACGGAGGGUGCAAGCGUUACUCGGAAUCACUGGGCGUAAAGGACACGUAGGCGGGUUGGAAAGUCAGAUGUGAAAUCCUACAGCUCAACUGUAGAACUGCAUUUGAAACUUCUAACCUAGAGUAUGGGAGGGGGAGAUGGAAUUAGUGGUGUAGGGGUAAAAUCCGUAGAUAUCACUAGGAAUACCUAAAGCGAAGGCGAUCUCCUGGAACAUUACUGACGCUAAGGUGUGAAAGCGUGGGGAGCAAACGGGAUUAGAUACCCCGGUAGUCCACGCCCUAAACGAUGAACACUAGUCGUCGGGAUGCUUGUCAUCUCGGUGAUGCACUUAACAGAUUAAGUGUUCCGCCUGGGGAGUACGGUCGCAAGAUUAAAACUCAAAGGAAUAGACGGGGACCCGCACAAGUGGUGGAGCAUGUGGUUUAAUUCGAAGAUACGCGAAGAACCUUACCUAGCCUUGACAUUGAUUGAAUUCAGUAGAGAUACAGAAGUGCCCUUCGGGGAACAUGAAAACAGGUGCUGCACGGCUGUCGUCAGCUCGUGUCGUGAGAUGUUGGGUUAAGUCCCGCAACGAGCGCAACCCUCGUCAAUAGUUGCCAGCAGGUUAAGCUGGGCACUCUAUUGAGACUGCCUUCGCAAGGAGGAGGAAGGUGAGGACGACGUCAAGUCAUCAUGGCCCUUACGGCUAGGGCUACACACGUGCUACAAUGGGGCGUACAGAGUGUUGCGAUACCGCGAGGUGGAGCUAAUCACUUAAAGCGUCUCUCAGUUCGGAUUGGAGUCUGCAACUCGACUCCAUGAAGCUGGAAUCACUAGUAAUCGUAGAUCAGCAAUGCUACGGUGAAUACGU